rnacentral:tRNA from 1 species
CAAUAGAUGGCCGAAUUUAAGCAUAAAUCUUUUAAAUUUAUUAUGGAUAAUCCUCUAUUGA